GGCAGAGAUGCCGGACGAGGUGAACAUCGACGAUCUGCUGGAGAUGGCCACGGACGAGGAGCGGGCCACCAAGCUGCAGGGCCUCUUGGAGUCGUGCAGCAGUGCAGAGGGCUUCAUCCAGGAGCUGCUUGAGAGGCUGCAAGGCCUCCGGACAGAGCAUGUCCUCCGGCGGACGAGCCCCAACAGCCGGGAAGCCUCCGGGCAGGGCCCCGGCAGCAGCCCCGAGUAGGGAGGGGAGCUCGGGAGCUCCUCAGGGGAGGGGGAGGAGAGCGGCCGCAGAUGCCCAGGGCCUCUGGGGGCCCCCAGCUCCAGGCGCAUGUGGGGGGGGGCUGCCCUUGGCUGGGCCCUGCCCCUGACCCCCACCCCGGUCUCUUCCCUGCAGCCGCU